rnacentral:rRNA from 1 species
AGUGAACGCUGGCGGUAGGCCUAACACAUGCAAGUCGAACGGCAGCACAGUAAGAGCUUGCUCUUACGGGUGGCGAGUGGCGGACGGGUGAGGAAUACAUCGGAAUCUACUUUUUCGUGGGGGAUAACGUAGGGAAACUUACGCUAAUACCGCAUACGACCUACGGGUGAAAGCAGGGGAUCUUCGGACCUUGCGCGAUUGAAUGAUCCGAUGUCGGAUUAGCUAGUUGGCGGGGUAAAGGCCCACCAAGGCGACGAGCCGUAGCUGGUCUGAGAGGAUGAUCAGCCACACUGGAACUGAGACACGGUCCAGACUCCUACGGGAGGCAGCAGUGGGGAAUAUUGGACAAUGGGCGCAAGCCUGAUCCAGCCAUACCGCGUGGGUGAAGAAGGCCUUCGGGUUGUAAAGCCCUUUUGUUGGGAAAGAAAAGCAGCAGGUUAAUACCCCGCUGUUCUGACGGUACCCAAAGAAUAAGCACCGGCUAACUUCGUG